UGGGGGAGCGCAGGAUCCUGGGCUGUGGCCCAGGCGCCCUGGGCUCCGGGGUCUGUGCUGCUGGAAUCAGCUCUGGGCCUCGCAGCCCCCU
rnacentral:pre_miRNA from 1 species